UCCACUGAGUAACACAUACAUACCUCAAAUUUUUUAUCUCUAUGUUAAUGUAUCAAUGCUUAUGUUUUGUUUUCAAGAUAAAUGGAUCAGAAGUAUUAUAUGAAGAGACAAAUAAUGAAUCUGAUCAAACGAGAAAGGCUUAAAGGGCUAGAUCGUAAAUCUAUAAUUUUAAAUUUUCCAUCAAGACCCCAGACAAAACCUCCGAUCUGCCGUUAAUAAUGGAUCUACAGAAAAUUACCAAGGAAGAAAAGAAGAAAAGGAAGAUCUAACCAAAUCCUAGGAAACUUAAGAAGAUUUUGAUAGUAAUUGCCUAAUAAAUUGUACAUUAUCUUUAUUGUAUGAUUUGAUUAUUUUGUUUAUCAAAAGUGUUCAUGUAAAUUGUGAAAAUUUCUUUCAACCCAAAGUUAUAGAUAAUAAUGAAGAAAAAAAAAAUUAAAAAUUUGUAACUCCCCUCUCUCUAGAAAAACGCUCUCACGCCUGAACCCGUUAUCUAGGGGGUUCUCCCCCCUCCCGAAAAACCAGAUCGACAAUCUCAUCAUGGAAAUCUUCCAUUUUCUAGGUUAAUCUUCUCUUUCCACCGGUCAUACAAGUGCAUCCACGUUUUGAUUGUUGUGAUUCCCCAUAUAAAUUGAUGGGUUUGGUAUUCUAAUCAAUGAUUUUUGCUGUGAUGUUGUGUCUCUAAUCUGCAAUGGAGUUUUUUCGAUGAUGUUCUUCACCAACGGAUCUUAUGCCAGUGAUUUCUUCGUUGUAUUCACUGGCUUUCCUAUCAUAGUCGUCAGCCAGGUCUACUAACUAUUUCAAGCCGUCAACUAAAACUCAAGUUAAGAGUAUCACCAUGGAACAAGCAAGAAAACAAGGAGAUAGACAGGUAAAGCACAUGCAUUAUUACCACAACAUUUGGAUGUAAAUGUCGCACUAGCUCCUCAGAUCGAUUGCAUCGGGACCCAAUACCAUCAUCAAAGUUUCUUUGGGCAUAUUUUAUUGUGGAAAGCAUUAAUCGAAAGCCUAUGGACCCUCCAUAACCUCAUCCGUGUUCACCUCACCAAUUCCAGCAUUUCUCCCCAACAUAAUUCUGAUUCGGAAACUAUUGAUCGCAUUCUGCUCCACCAUCAUGUUACUGAAGACUAUUUUUAAUGUGUUAGUAGUUUAUGAAAUAUUUAUGCUUAAAAGAAAAAUAAUGAAGAAGAAGAAGACUGGGUUUUUGAGAAAGAAAAAAAAGUGAUUUGUUUUAUAUUGGUCAAACCAAAUCUGGCGCAGUUUGAAGUGGUAGUACAAGGCAAAAAAAGGGGCGGUACGUCUGCAUUGUACUACUUCGUUAGGAGGUAGUCGAACUACCUAGGAAGUUGCUAUGUCAUGUGUUUGUGUCAUGCCAAACACCUAGUUCAUGAAUGCAUGCUCCUACUACACCCUUUGACUGCACUCUCUCCUCCAACUACAUUGUGCCAAACGAACCCUAAGAGUUCCCUCCAAAAACAAAAUAGUGGUGGGUUUUUCAGAGCAGCAAUCUAUGUCCAAAUCAAACAAAAUAAUUAAAAAAAUAUGGAUAUUGGAGUAUUUUAGUGGAAGUUAAUUCGGUAAAGCAGAGAGAGUUGGCAUGAUUUUCACUCGGGAAGAGUAUGCCGACUUUAAAAGGAUGAUUUUAAUUAUUUUCUAGAUACCCCUUAUCAACGUCCCUUAAUAUUUCAUUAUUGAUAAAUAUAUUUUUUUCAGCU